rnacentral:lncRNA from 1 species
AAGAAAACGAAUCGAAGAAGAAGAAUAAAAAAAAGAAGAAUCGAAGAAAAAGAAAAAGAAUCGAAAAAAAGAAAAAGAAUCAAAGAAGUAGAAGAAUUGAAGAGGAAUAGAAAAUGAAGAACGGUGAACAAUGAACAAAGAACGACGAACGAUGAAUGCAAAAACCCAGUGAGUUUCUGUGUUUCUUUAUUAACAUGGGAUAAAAUCCGCUGUUAGCUUUAACAGCGGAGAAAAUCCACCGUUAACCGUUCUAAUAUUACUUAUCCUAACGGCAGAUAUAAAUCCGCCGUUAGGAUGUCUAAAUGUGAAAUAUCGUUUAAAUACAUAAAAAAAAAAUCGGUAACCAUGCAUUUUAGUGUAUUAACAGCGGAGAAAAUCCACCGUUAACCGUUCUAAUAUUACUUAUCCUAACGGCAGAUAUAAAUCCGCCGUUAGGAUGUCUAACUGUGAACUAUCGUUAAAAUAGAUAAAAAAACCAUCGUUAACCAUGCAUUUUAGUGUAGUGAAUGAAUGUGCUAAUAAUCAUGCAUAUCAUCGUCAUCAAAUCUUGCUAUGUCCAGAGUUGGCUAGCGACUAGAUAGUAGCUAUGGAUAUCGAGAUCACCCUGACUAAGUUUAGCGAGUUCAUACUCGGUUUCCAACUAGCAAGAAGUAUUAACUGAGCAUAUGUUUGUUUCAGAUGAUUCAAGAUUUCUAAAGAAUAAGUGAAGCAAUGUAGGGAUAGAGUGAUUGGAGUAGAGACAGACCCA